GAUGAAGAACGCAGCUAAAUGCGAUAAGUAAUGCGAAUUGCAGAAUUUCCGUGAGUCAUCGAAUCUUUGAACGCACAUUGCGCCCACUGGUAUUCCGGUGGGCAUGCCUGUUCGAGCGUCAUUAUCCUCCCUCAAACCCCGGGUUUGGUGUUGGACCGAAGUUGUGUGAACAACUGGUCUAAAAAACAAUGACGGCGUCCGUGGGACCCUCGGUGCAACGAGCUUUUAGGAGCACGCGCCGAGUUGCAAGGACCUUCCGGGCCGGUCUCCUUUUACUAUUUUACAAGGUUGACCUCGGAUCAGGUAGGAAUACCCGCUGAACUUAAGCAUAUCAAUAAGCGGAGGA
rnacentral:misc_RNA from 1 species